AAGUCGUAACAAGGUUUCCGUAGGUGAACCUGCGGAAGGAUCAUUAUUGAAAUCCUUAGGAUGUUGCUGGCCUUUCAGGGCAUGUGCACUCCGCCUUUUCAAUUCACCUGUGAACUCAUUGUAGGCCGGACUUGUCAAAGUCUGUGUCUAUGUUUUUAUACACCCCUUUAAACAAGUUUAACAGAAUGUCAUUAUUAGACCUUAUGGUCGAAAUAAAUCAAUACAACUUUCAACAAUGGAUCUCUUGGUUCUC
rnacentral:misc_RNA from 1 species